AUGGAUAUGAUGAAUAUUUCCCCAGAUGAUCGAAUUUGAAAUAACUGAGCGCAAUUUUAAUUUUUCUCCUUUCGGAGUAGAAUUCAAGCCAGAAAUCUGAUCCAU